AUGGGACCCCCACUCCCAGCCUCCAGCCUCACUGGACUCCUCAGAGAAUCCCUGCUCCCAGCCCCCAGCCCGCCUCCUCACGGGACCCCUCAGAGAAUCCCUGCUCCCAGCCCCCAGCCCGCCUCCUCACGGGACCCCUCAGAGAAUCCCUGCUCCCAGCCCCCAGCCCGCCUCCUCACGGGACCCCUCAGAGAAUCCCUGCUCCCAGCCCCCAGCUCGCCUCCUCACGGGACCCCUCACAGAAUCCCUGGUCCCAACCCAGCCCCUCACGGGAUCCUCGAACUGGUCACAGUACGGCCCCUCAUGGGACCCCUCACAGAACACCUGCUCCCAGCCCCCAAUCCAGCCCCUCACGGGGACCCUUCACGGGACCCCCGACCUCGCCCCAGCGCGGCCCCUCACGCGGCCCUUCACAGGAUCCCCGAACUGGUCCCAGCACAAGACCCUUCAGAGAAUCCCCGCUCUCAGCCCGGCCCCUCACUGGACUCCUCAGAGAAUCCCUGCUCCCAGCCCCCAGCCCGCCUCCUCACGGGACCCCUCAGAGAAUCCCUGCUCCCAGCCCCCAGCUCGCCUCCUCACGGGACCCCUCACAGAAUCCCUGGUCCCAACCCAGCCCCUCACGGGAUCCUCGAACUGGUCACAGUACGGCCCCUCAUGGGACCCCUCACAGAAUCCCUGCUCCCAGCCCCUCACGGGGACCUUUCACGGGACCCCCGACCUCGCCCCAGCGCGACCGCUCACGCGGCCCUUCACAGGAUCCCCGAACUGGUCCCAGCACAAGACCCUUCAGAGAAUCCCCGCUCUCAGCCCGGCCCCUCACUGGACUCCUCAGAGAAUCCCUGCUCCCAGCCCCCAGCCCGCCUCCUCACGGGACCCCUCAGAGAAUCCCUGCUCCCAGCCCCCAGCUCGCCUCCUCACGGGACCCCUCACAGAAUCCCUGGUCCCAACCCAGCCCCUCACGGGAUCCUCGAACUGGUCACAGUACGGCCCCUCAUGGGACCCCUCACAGAAUCCCUGCUCCCAGCCCCUCACGGGGACCUUCACGGGGACCCUUCACGGGACCCCCGACCUCGCCCCAGCGCGGCCCCUCACGCGGCCCUUCACAGGAUCCCCGAACUGGUCCCAGCACAAGACCCCUCAGAGAAUCCCUGUUCCCAGCCCGCCUCCUCACGGGAUCCCUCACAGAAUCCCCGGUACCAGCGCGGCCCCUCACAGGACCCUUCACGGGAUCCCCGAACUGGCCUCAGCGCAGCCCCUCACGGGACCCUUCACGGGAUCCUCGAUCGCAGAUCGGACCCUCACGGGACCCUUCACGGGAUCCCCUUCACGGGAUCCCCGUCAUGGGCCAGACCCUCACGGGUCCUAGCACUAACGCCUCAGCGAAGACUCGCCCACGCCCGCGCCCUCAAAAGGCGGGAACCGAUCAGCACCCGACGGAAACGCCCGAAGGCUCUACGGAGAUCCCCGAGGUAG
rnacentral:lncRNA from 1 species